rnacentral:rRNA from 1 species
GACGAACCGUGCGAACGUUGUUCGGAAUCACUGGGCUUAAAGGGCGCGUAGGCGGGUUCGCAAGUCUGUGGUGAAAGCCUCCAGCUUAACUGGAGAAGUGCCGUGGAUACUGCGAAUCUUGAGGAGGGUAGGGGCGUCUGGAACGGUCGGUGGAGCGGUGAAAUGCGUUGAUAUCGACCGGAACUCCGGUGGCGAAGGCGAGGCGCUGGACCCUUUCUGACGCUGAGGCGCGAAAGCCAGGGGAGCAAAGCGGGG